GAUGAACGCUGGCGGCGUGCUUAACACAUGCAAGUCGAACGGGCGGAGGGAGCUUGCUCCCGAAGCUAGUGGCGGACGGGUGAGUAACGCGUGGGUAACCUGCCUCAUACAGGGGGAUAACAGUGAGAAAUUACUGCUAAUACCGCAUAUGCGCACAGUACCGCAUGGUACAGUGUGGAAAACUCCGGUGGUAUGAGAUGGACCCGCGUUGGAUUAGCUAGUUGGUGAGGUAGAGGCUCACCAAGGCGACGAUCCAUAGCCGGCCUGAGAGGGUGGACGGCCACAUUGGGACUGAGAUACGGCCCAGACUCCUACGGGAGGCAGCAGUGGGGAAUAUUGGGCAAUGGGGGAAACCCUGACCCAGCAACGCCGCGUGAAGGAAGAAGGCCUUCGGGUUGUAAACUUCUUAUAGCAGGGACGAAGAAAGUGACGGUACCUGCAGAAAAAGCAACGGCUAACUACGUG
rnacentral:rRNA from 1 species